rnacentral:tRNA from 1 species
UGGGGUGUGGCUCAGCGGUACAGCGCUCACCUAGCAUGUGCGAGGCCCUGGGUUCGAUCCUCAGCAUCACAU